CCUACGGGAGGCAGCAGUGAGGAAUAUUGGUCAAUGGGCUUACGCCUGAACCAGCCAAGUCGCGUGAGGGAAGACUGCCCUAUGGGUUGUAAACCUCUUUUGUCAGGGAGCACUUGGCGCUACGUGUAGCGUUAUCGCGAGUACCUGAAGAAAAAGCAUCGGCUAACUCCGUGCCAGCAGCCGCGGUAAUACGGAGGAUGCGAGCGUUAUCCGGAUUUAUUGGGUUUAAAGGGUGCGUAGGCGGAAUGCCAAGUCAGGGGUAAAAUCGCGGGGCUCAACCUCGCUCCGCCGUUGAAACUGGCGUUCUUGAGUGGGCGGGAAGUAUGCGGAAUGCGUGGUGUAGCGGUGAAAUGCAUAGAUA
rnacentral:rRNA from 1 species